rnacentral:misc_RNA from 1 species
CUGCUGUUAUGGCUAUAUCAAGCUGCUUGAGAGAACCAGUUGGUCCGAAUAAUUGCUCAGAGGUGAAGUAAUAUCCGCGUUACACUGCAGAGCUUGUUCCAUUUUUCAAUUGAUCUCUGUACAACAUAUUUGUCGAUAAGACGAAUGAUCAAUGUAGUGUUAUACAAUGUAUUUCUUUUUACUGUCAUUUUAAAGAAAAGGAAAAUGAUGAAAGAAGCUAUAGACCAUUUAUUUUCUGG